rnacentral:rRNA from 1 species
AAUCAACGCUGGCGGCGUGCCUCAGACAUGCAAGUCGAACGCGAAAGUCCCCUUCGGGGGACAAGUAGAGUGGCGCACGGGUGAGUAACACGUAGGUAAUCUACCUUCGGAUGGGGAAUAACAACCGGAAACGGUUGCUAAUACCGCAUAAUGCAGCGGCACCUAAUGGUGACAGUUGUUAAAGCGGGGGAUCGAAAGACCUCGCGUCUGAAGAGGAGCCUGCGGCGGAUUAGCUAGUGGUAAGGUAAUGGCUUACCAAGGCGACGAUCCGUAGCCGGCCUGAGAGGGCGGUCGGCCACACUGACACUGACAUACGGGUCAGACUCCUACGGGAGGCAGCAGUCGGGAAUUUUGGGCAAUGGGCGAAAGCCUGACCCAGCAACGCCG